GUCCUAAUUGAGGAAAAAUCACCACCUUUCGAUAUGCCAAGUGUGUGGAAAUGCUGAGCAAGGGCACACAUCAUCUAGGUACGUGAGGCGUCGAGUCAAGAGAGGGCGUGUUGAUCGAUGUGGGUUGUCAUAGAGGAAGCGUGUCCCGGGGCGUCAGUCUAGUUUACUGAAUAGUACACUUUGUCUUUCAUGUUUCUUUUCUUAUCUUUACCUAGGCACAUAUGUCCUUUUAGUAAAGAAACGUUUUUCUUUUGAAAUAAAUGUUUUUCCUUGAA